UACGUAGGGGGCAAGCGUUGUCCGGAAUCAUUGGGCGUAAAGCGCGUGUAGGCGGCUCGAUAAGUCCGCUCUGAAAGCCCGGGGCUCAACCCCGGGAGGCGGGUGGAUACUGUCGAGCUUGAGUCCGGAAGAGGAGUGUGGAAUUCCUGGUGUAGCGGUGAAAUGCGCAGAUAUCAGGAGGAACACCGAUGGCGAAGGCAGGUCUCUGGGCCGAUACUGACGCUGAGGAGCGAAAGCGUGGGGAGCAAACAGG
rnacentral:rRNA from 1 species